GAUGAACGCUGGCGGCGUGCCUAAUACAUGCAAGUCGAGCGAAUGGAUUAAGAGCUUGCUCUUAUGAAGUUAGCGGCGGACGGGUGAGUAACACGUGGGUAACCUGCCCAUAAGACUGGGAUAACUCCGGGAAACCGGGGCUAAUACCGGAUAACAUUUUGAACCGCAUGGUUCGAAAUUGAAAGGCGGCUUCGGCUGUCACUUAUGGAUGGACCCGCGUCGCAUUAGCUAGUUGGUGAGGUAACGGCUCACCAAGGCAAAGAUGCGUACCCGACCGAGGGGGGUGAGCGGCCACGCUGGAACUGAGACACGGCCCAGACUCCUACGGGAGGCAGCAGUAGGGAAUCUUCCGCAAUGGACGAAAGUCUGACGGAGCAACGCCGCGUGAGUGAUGAAGGCUUUCGGGUCGUAAAACUCUGUUGUUAGGGAAGAACAAGUGCUAGUUGAAUAAGCUGGCACCUUGACGGUACCUAACCAGAAAGCCACGGCUAACUACGUGCCAGCCGCCGCCGUAA
rnacentral:rRNA from 1 species